UGAAAGGUGUAAUUUAGUCUGAAAAAUAUUGUAUUGUUUUUCGUUUAGAAUUGAAAAAUAAACCAUAUUUAAUUGAAUGAGUGAAAAGAAGAGAAUAUUUUCAACGAGUGCAAUUCGAGAAUAGUACAUAUUUGAAAGAAGUGCUUAUUUAUAAGAAUAACGAUAUGCAAAACAGUGUCAAAACUCACAAAAAGACUCGAAACUUUAUUUUCUUAUCCAUUAUUUUUUAAUUUCUUAAUUAGCGAUAUCUAUGGAAAAGGUAAAGUUCAGGUGUUCGUUAAAUUUUCUAAAAUUUCCAAGCUAUCUGUGACUGUUUUUUAAUUUUUUUCUCCAUCUCUUGUCUCUCUCGAACCAAGAGAUCGAUAGCCAUCUGUUCUUUGUUUAAUCAGAUUUACAAGCUUUCAAUGCAGCAAAACAUAGAAAUAACGAAGCUGACUUUUCUGCUGGUACUUUUGUUCGCCAAAGAAAUAUGUUCGGACGAUACGUCAGAGAGAUUCAUUAUUUAUAUGGAUGUACAUAACGAUAUUGAAAAUUUAAUUCAAUGGGGCAACACUUGCGAAGCAAAGCUAACUACCUUAGAACAAACUGUAGUGGAAACCACAGAAUCGAGAGAGAGUUCGAAUGAAAAAUAUUUGGAAACAUUGAAGAAAUUAGAAUAUUUGGAGCAUACGGUUAGCACAUAUGAAUUAAAGCAGACGGCAGCGGAACAUACGAUACAGAGCUUAAUUUCGCGAUCCAAGCAAAUUGAGGAAGAGUUAAGACACACUAUUCAUAUAUUGAGUGCUAAAGUAACAGAUUUAGCAUCAAAAUUUGCACUUCAGCACAGGUAAAUUAAUACUUUUACGUUCCCUCUCUCUCUGUAUAAUAUAAUUGCAGGGAGAGAAAAUUCUUUUGUUCGCUAAUCGUUUGCAGAUGUUGUUUGUAGAUAUUAUAUUUGCAGUGUGUGGUAAAGAACUCUAAAUUAGAAGCGAGCUUUUAAUCAAGUUCAAACAACAAAAUCUGGCAAUAGGCAAUCCCAUUAACCAUUAAACGGUACUCUUUAAAACUAAUAUUACGCCAAUAAGAAUUAGAAGAAAUUAUAUGACCUUCUAAUGACAAUAAGGAUGAAAGGCAUGGCUGAAACAUAACAAGAAAAACGUUUACUUCGGUUACACCGAGGCUAUAACAAUGUUCACAAGUAUUGUAAAAAAGCUUUACAUUCAAGGGCUGGAAUUUGAUCGAUCAGUUUGUAUGACAGCAAUAUCCUAAAGUGGUCGCAUAUCGGCGAUUUCUGCAAAUAAGUACUUAUUUGGGGAGGAAAGGACGUGUAGGAAAUUUCAGAUCGGUGUCUCAAAAACUGAGAGACUAGUUGUAUACGCACAGACAGACGGACAUCGCUAAAUCUACAGCCCGUCACGCUGAUCACAUAUGUAUGUAUGUAUCCUUCUCGGUGGUAAAAAGUUCGUGGCAAACUUUAUAUACACUGUACGGGGAAUAAUGAUGUUUCUAUCUAUCUUUGCCAUAUAUUUUUUUUAUUGAAAGAAAUUUAUUGAAGAAUAUAUCGGCAUUCGCUUGCUCUUAACAUAAAAUAUUCCUUCAAUAAUGUUGUGGAACAAAAGAAACUCCUCAAACUUUACAUAUAUGUAAAAUAGGUGAAAUUGAGAGACGCCAUCAGCUUCGUUUGGUAAGUUAAUGACAAACGUUGCGUUUUAUAUGUCCUCGUACGCUCUUCGUUUAAAUUAGGUACACUAUUACGAUUAAGCGUUAAAUCACAGAUUCGCAACGUUGCCGUAUAUAUUUAUUUUAUUUUUGUAGAGAUCCAUUGCCAGAAAGAGAGCGCCCUUUUAAAACUCCCAGCACUACAGGCGUACAGCGUCGUCCAAUACAAUUUGUACCUCCAGUACAAUAUGUACCCCCGACAAAUGUGCCAACAGCAGCAAGCCUGGUUUCACAAGUUUGUGAAGAGAUUGAAAGAGCGUUGCAAUUAGAAGGGAUUAAACGGUUCGUAUCUGGAAUUCAUCCCUCCCUUACCAUUAUUGAAAGGAAAACGCGUUACUCUAGCGUUUUUAGAUGUAUGGGGAGUUUGAUUGGUAAACGCUUCGUUCUAACUUCAGGCCGUUGUGUAUACACAGGUGGGGCAAACUUUGUGCGAUUGGGAAUACGAAGUGACAAAACAAGCGCCAUAGGAAUGAAUAUAAAAAAAAUGCUUAUACAUCCCAAAUACGCUUUAGGCAGAAAGUUUAAUAUAGCCGUUAUCGAACUGGAAGGCGAUGUGGAGUAUUCUUCGCUCGUAUAUCCAACCUGUUUGUACACUGCUGCAACAAUUUCAAUAACUAACGCUGAGGUUUUUUACAUACAAGAUCUAGACGAGUUUUCCUCAAAAAAAUUGGAGGAAGUGCGCGGUCGACUUGUUCCGUACUCAAAUUGUGCGCGAUUCGCUGAGGUUCAAGCACAAGAUUCAUAUGAGGAAUCGUUAAUAUGUGUACAUUAUAACAAUGUUUCGGAUUCGUAUUAUAGCUCCUUCCAUGGGCCGUUAUUUUUCACCCAAAAGGAUGUGAUAGGUAAAGAGCGCAUCAUUGCGGUAUAUUCGGAAAACUCACUUCGAAAUGACGUUUAUAUGACGCAGGAGCUCACAAAGGUGUAUGACUACUUAGAUUUUAUUGAGAAUGCAAUGCGGAGUUUAUUUGGUUCCUAAUUCCAAUGAGAUAUAUAUGCACAAACUAACGACGAAUCGAAAAUUAAAUCUCGGCUUUUUUUAUUUGGAAGCAAGAGGUAUUUUGUCUUGUGUAUUCUGUGCUCGACUACCGCUUGUCAAUCAUAACCUCAAAACUCAUCAACGAAGGAAUCGAAAUAUGAGAAAACAUAGUUCUUUCAGACGAGGUCGUUCUUCUUUUAGUAAUCUGAAAUACAAGUCCAGUGCUAAAGUGAACUUGUUUUAUUGAAGAUCAGAUUUCACAAUACUAGGCCUAAUACCCAUAUAACAAACUUUUGAAUUCCAUCACGCGAUACUUUCCUUAGUUUGAUAUAAAGUUUUGCCAAAACCUGAAAGUGCUCCUCCGCCAUUGUACCUUGCAAGUUGCAAGAGUAUUAAAUGUUCGGUUACACCCUAACUUAACAUUUCCUUACUUGUUUUAGACAUGUGGUUUUUCCCUCGUAAAGUGUGUUUGCAGCAAUUAGCGGCGUGUGUCCACAUUAACAGCUGUAGUAUUAUGGCUGGCUUCAUUUUUGAAUAAAUAUGGACCAAUAAUUCGCUAUGCCCUUAGAGCACACCAAACAAUAACUUUUUGCGGGUGUACGAUAAUCACUCCAAAUGCGAUAAUUUCGUUUAUUAACGUACCUAUUUAACUAAAAUUGAACUUCAUCGCUGAACAAAGUUUUCUUGCAACAAUUGGGAACGGUGACCAUCUCCUUUUGGGCCCAUUUACCGAACGUGCGACACACGCUAGAUAGUCGUUCGGCUUAAAUUCUUGCACAAGUUAGAUUUUGUACGCCCGAAAACCAAGUUCUUCCAUAAAAUCUUUUAUAAAGUGGAUGGGCACUGCUCCAAUUGUUGCCCGCUAUGGCGAAUGGAGUCAUUUGGGUCUGGAUCGGUACUCUGCUCCACAGCAGCAAUAACGUCUUCGGUGCGCAUUGUACGUUGCACCCCACGUCUAAAAGAAGUUCCUGUUAUUAGGGAUAUGAAAAUUGACGCAUUUGAUACUGUGAAAGCCUUUACUUACUUGGACUAUGAACUCAAUGGAGCCUGAGUAUCGAAGAGAGAAUACAAUCCGUCAAUAGACGUCAUACGCGUGCUUUAUCAAACUGUUGAAAUCAAAACUACUCCACAACAAUCAAUCGACCAGUAUCGCUACUCGAAAAGGAUAAAGCCAAGUUUCAAGUAUACGAAACACAGAUUCUUAGAAAAAUCUGUGGAGUAGUAAAAGAUAAUGACUAGUGGUGUUCGUAUAAUGUGGAACCAUGAGCUAAGCCAACUUAUAAAAGGUGAAAAUGUUAUACCACUAAAGAACGGGGAAGACCGCGAUCAAGAUGGAUUGACGAACACGAGGAAGAUAUGGAGAAGAUUGGUAGAAAAAUAUGAAAGCAACUGUAAAUGACCGAGAUGUCUGAGGUUUACAUGUGCAGCAGCUCAAAGCUAACAAUGAGCUGAAUCACCAAAAGAAGAUGAUAUUAGGUAUAUUGGCAUAAAUUUCUGGUUUUUCUUGAUAAACUGUGAAAACUAGUGAAAGCAGAUAAUAACUACGCCAAUACACCAUAAAAAUUUGCUCGAAUAGUCCUUUGAAAUGUGUCAGCUUUUUUCUAAAAAUGGUCGAAAUCGAACUAAGACUUUAUGUUUAAUAUAACUGUUAUUUUGUGUAGUAUUUCAGUGGCAAUAGCUGGGCGCUACAAAUUCAUGAAAUCGUGUCCUAAGUUCCCUAAUCUUUAUAUAAACAAAAUAUUGAUUUCCGUUGUUCACAAUUUUGUCAAACAACGAUUGUUGAAUUGGUAUGAAUUGUUUUUUUUUUAUUCUGGCGAAUUGCGAGAGUAAAUGCUGUUCGGCUGCAUCCGAACUUAGUUCUAUCUGCUGUUGAAAGAAUUUUAUUUUCUAUUGCUAUGUAUGUAUGUACUAUGGAAGCACUGACACAUAACCCAAAUACGAGAGGUGGUGCUUAUUAUCUAUCAGAUCACACUUUACGAAGUGUUCAUCGGUUCAAUCAGCUAGCAAUGCCGUCAUCGCAGCACGCUGCUUUUGACACUUAAGGUCAGUUAUUAAGAAUUAAUCGCAAUUUUGUGCCCACUUGCUACUCCUAUCCUUUCCUCUACCCACCCUAGGCAAGCGUUUUAAGUUCAGUGACAGUCGGUAGAAAAAAUAGCUUUCUAAAAGCUUUGACUUGUUUUAUGGAAAAUACUAGCAUGCCAUAAUUUUUUUUGUUUAUGUCAAUGACGUCAUGACGCAAGUCACAAAGCAGAUUGUGUGGCGCCUUAUAAUAUAUUGUACAUAUAAACACGUAUAUAACAUAUGUGUGUUAAUUGUAUUUUUCUGCGUCAAAGCUCUGCUUGCUUCUUUUGUCGACAAUUUUUGCGGCGCAUCAGCUUUCUAUAAUUACAUGAGAAUUGGAGGCCCAACAUUAAGAAAAGAGAAUUAAUCUAAAAUGAUUAUAUCAAGAACUCUCGGAAAAGGUAUCCAAGAGUAACCAUGAAACGAUGACAUAAUUUUUCUUCGCUAAUGGAGACAAGUCGGUGGGAUAUAAAGAUUAUACUUGUUGUUUGGUAAUAAAAAAAAAAAUAUUGAACAUUUAUGGAGAUCCACAAGGUUCAUCAUCUUUAAAAUUCUCGGAACAACUUUUUGAGAUAUUGAGGAAUAUUACCAACAUGAACAGGGCGAAGAC